rnacentral:lncRNA from 1 species
GAGUGAUCUACCACCUCAGCCUCCCAAAGUGCUGGGAUUACAGGGAUGAGCCACCAUGGCUGGCAGACACAAGCAUCGUGAGGGGUGCCUAGCCCCUGCAGACACUCCAUGAACAGCAAAUGUGAUAACUGCUAAAUCAAAACUACCCCAGAAUUUUCCAUCUGCUAUGUCCCCAAGAAAUGACACUGUAACAGGGAGCCGAACACUAUGAUGCCUGCCCAGCUGCAAGAGUGGACUCACCUAAGAUACUCCACAAGCUUUUUAUGCUGUUACAACGGACCCAAAGCACGGGAGAGCAGGGGCCUCACUUGUGCUGUUGCUUGAGAGUUCCCUAAAUGCCAGGCCAUAGCAGGUACUGAAGAAUACCUACAGCCCGAGUGAGUGCUGCUAUGUGUAGGGUUCAGGCCAAGGGCCCUGGCUGCAGAGCAGAGGAACUGAGAGCUAGACAGGGCUGGGCCUGCCAUAGGAAAACAACAGCCCAGCUAUGACCCAGCACUGUGGUGGCUGGGGGAUGAGAGAUGAGCUCAGCACAGAAAACACCUUGGAGCCCUGGAUGUACCCCUCCUACACCAGUACAAUGCCCUGCAGUGCUCUGGGCUUUAAACUUCACUUCUUGCUGAGUUGACACCAAAUGAGGCCCCUGAAGAGCCUCUUCUGCUGUGGGGCUUGGACAGAGUACCCGGGCCUGGAGUGGGACUUACAGGGAAGCCAGCAUCAUAGAAAAUCCCUAGAGGGAAUUCCCAGAAGGCUGCACCCUCAAAGCAUCUGGUCCAGACAAGACAACCCUGACUAGUCAUCCUGAAAGCCCGGUGCUGUCCAAAAGACACAGAUGCCAUGGUACAGGGAUGUGGCACAGUGGGGAGCCAGAGGUAGGUUACAAAGGAGACCUUAGAAGGUGUGGGACUCCCUUCCAUGUGGGUGCAGAGUGCCCACUGUCAUUCCCCAUGGAGGCACCAAGCCAGGAGAGUAGGGCUCCAGGGACAGUAGCUUCCAGCCUUCCCAGUCAGGUCCACAUCUGGUGAGCCAGAAGGAAGGAAAUGUAACCUAACACUGUGGCAGGAUCCAGCGUGGCCUUGUGGGAGGCGCUGUGGGAUGAGCAAGAGAGCAAAUGUGUGUGGCCAAGAUGAAGAAUGAACAGGGAUAGAAAAUUCCUACUUGUCCCAAGAAAUAGACCUCAAUGUCCCUUAGCAACAUCUUUUUAUGUCAUGCCUGACCGUGUGUGUGCCAGGGGUGGUGCUUGCCUUACCAAUAUGAGCAGUGCAAAAGUCCAGGAUGCCACGUUCACUCGAGACCCCUGUGCCAUGCUGUCUCCCAAAAGACUGAGCACCUUGAGGGCAGACUGGGAAUUGAGGUAUCCCUGAACCCCUAAGAGCAGCUCCUAUACAGCCCUAGAACUGCUGCUGAAGGAAGUGGCUCAUUUUGCUAAACUCCAGUUUGGAAUCUGGGGCUCAGUAAGGCUGUCCCUGCAGAGCAUUCUUGAGCCCAUUCUGUUCGGUAGCCAGGCAAGUGUGAGCAGCUGCAGCUUCACAGGAGGAGGCUUAGAGGGGCAGUGAUGGGUGCCAUGCUAUGCAGAUCCCAGACAGGAACGCGGGGGCCAGGUUUUAUUACAGGAGAUGGUGCUUGGGGUGGGAAUCAUAUCUCCAUCCCAUGGGACAGCUUAGUGGUGCUGAGGCUGACUUCGUGGGGGUGUAUUUAAUCCUCGUGAGGGAGGGGGAUGUUAACCACAGCUCAGGACUCUGUUCUUCCAGUUCCUCUUUCUCUCACACCCACAUUGAAACCAGCAAGUUCUGGUAGUUCUACUUUGAGAAUACCCCUUCCCAGGCUGCCUGAGGCACCAUCCCCUCUCCCCGGGGUGCCCACAUGGUCCCCUAACUACCUGUUCUAUCACCCAUAACAAAGCUCUACCCUUUGCUGACUCCACAUGGCAGCUAGAGUUCCCUUGGCUGCAAGGCCUCUCUGUUCCUGGGCUACCCUGGCUUCCUUGCUGUUUCUCCCAGGGGCCAACUCUUCAAGGCUGCAGGACCUUUGCACCUGCUGUGUCCACUGCCUGGCUCCCUGCCUCAGGUCUCCACUUCGGGUCAAACUAUCCCUGUCAUCUUCCUAGACCAUAAACAGCACAUCCCCAGCAGGCUUCUUUCCCUCUGUGAUGACUGUGAUGUCAUUUCCUGUCUUUUCACUGGAAAUCGCCACCUCACAUAGGCAUGUCUGCCUCACUAUUCAAUGUCUGUGUCCCCCAUGAAAACAGAUGCUUUAUCUGCUGUUGAACUAUCAGGAUCUGAAAUGGUGCACUGGCUUCCAGCUGCACUCCUAGCCCUGGAAAAACCAAACCAGCCUGAUCUUACUGUUUUCUAGUCAAAAUAAUAGCUUUAAUCACAGUGGGUCUAGAUGGAUUCAAAAAGGAAGAUUUAUCCACUCUUCUUGGUAAUUGUUUAUAAUUAUCAAUAGAUCAAUCUGGCAUUUAUGUUCCACCUGUAUUAUCCUUGGGUGGGGACACAGCCAAACCAUGUGUCAUCUUGAAUUCCCAUGUAUCAUGGGAGGGACCCAUUG